rnacentral:rRNA from 1 species
UACGGAGGAUCCGAGCGUUAUCCGGAUUUAUUGGGUUUAAAGGGUGCGUAGGCGGUUUUAUAAGUUAGAGGUGAAAAUUCGGGGCUCAACUCCGGACGUGCCUCUAAUACUGUAUGACUAGAGAAUAGAUGCGGUAGGCGGAAUGUAUGGUGUAGCGGUGAAAUGCAUAGAUAUCACGCAGAACGCCGAUUGCGAAGGCAGCAUACCGGCGCCCAACUGACGCUGAGGCACGAAAGCGUGGGGAUCGAACAGG